CUGUAUGCUGUUAAUGCUAAUCGUGAUAGGGGUUUUUGCGUCUGACUGACUCCUACAUGUUAGCAUUAACAGGGUACGAUGCCUGCCUGC
ensembl:miRNA Mir155 microRNA mir-155